rfam:Camelus ferus unplaced genomic scaffold scaffold863, whole genome shotgun sequence.
GGAUGGGUACAGUUCAGUGGUAGAGUGCUUGCUUAGCACGCAUGAGAUUCUGGGUUAAAUCCCCAGUACCUCCA